UACAGAGGGUGCUAGCGUUAAUCGGAUUUACUGGGCGUAAAGCGUGUGUAGGCGGUUCGUUAAGUCGGGUGUGAAAUCCCUGGGCUCAACCCGGGAAUUGCAUUCGAUACUGGCGAGCUAGAGUACGGUAGAGGGCGGCGGAAUUCCGGGUGUAGCGGUGAAAUGCGUAGAUAUCGGGAAGAACAUCAGUGGCGAAGGCGGCCUGCUGGGCUGUUGCUGACGCUGAGGCGCGACAGCGUGGGGAGCAAACAGG
rnacentral:rRNA from 1 species